UUUCGGUAGGUGAACCUGCGGAAGGAUCAUUAUUGUAUAACCGCGGUGCGAGGGCUGUCGCUGACCCGAAAGGUCGUGCACGCCCGAGUGCCCUCACACACAUCCAUCUCACCCCUAUGUGCACCACCGCGUGGGUCCCCCUUUGGCUUGUUCGGAGGGGGGCUUACGUUUUCACACAAACUUUGUAUGCAGUGUAGAAUGUAUUUUUUGUUUUUGCGAUCACGCAAUCAAUACAACUUUCAACAACGGAUCUCUUGGCUCUC
rnacentral:misc_RNA from 1 species